UUUCACCCUUAAAAUGUCAACAAUUUAUUUUCAAAUAUUUUUUUUUAAGGAUAAAGUAGUUUCCACAGUUUUUGGCUCUACACUAAGCUGCUUCAAGAAAGGUGCCUUCUGUGGUCACAGGCUGAAAUGUCAGGUUUCCAGCUUUGGGGGGUUUUUUCCAACUCAAUGUGCAACCUCUGAGUCUUCUGCCAGGUUCUUAUAAUGAAAGACUUAAUAUCAAAUCCAAUCAAAUCUUUAACAUGAUUUUAGCAAAUGCAUGCUUUUAACAUUGUUCUGCAGGUCUUUGAAAAAAAAUCUUUUCCAGUAAAGUUUAGAGACAUCUAAGUUUAAUGUUGACUGUAGCAUACUAAAAAUAGGAUAUUUCCUAUCUCUACUGUUUAUUGACCUAGAUGUCCUGAAACUUUUAAAUAGUUUAGGUGGAAUGUUGUGUUUACUUGACAAGACUAAACGGGCUGGUGACUGGAGAGAGAGAGGCUAAGGCAUUGUAUACGUAUAAUGGUUGCACUCCUGGAGUCAUGCUAGUGCAGUUACAGCAUUAUAGAGGAACUUUAUAAUAGUAAAAUUAUUCCCAUCUGGAAAGAGCGAGCUACCCUAGUACAGUGCACCUCUACACUGCUAUAACUAUAUCCACAUAAGGGGUUAUAAAAAUCAUCCCCUAUCCAAAAUAAUAUUACUGGCCCAAAAACAGUCUGCCAGGCCUAAGUGCUUUAAACUCUUCAAAUGUAGGGACUGCAUGACUGCUCUGUUUAUAUAGCAUCUAGCACAACAGCCCAUGAUUGCUGGCCUUUACAUAACACUUUAAUGGAAACAAAUUCAUAAAAUAAUUAGAUACCUACACAUAGGAACCAAAGAGAAUCACCACAUUAGGACUGAUAUUGGGUAUGUACUGACGGUAUAAUCAGAACUACAUAAAGUGUGGGAGAAGACAUGGUGCAUGCCCCAUACACACAAUUUGCCUGGAGUAUUCCAAGGGGACCGCAGGGCUGUUAAGAUUCAGACAUACUUCAGCCCUCAAAUCAUAACAUUUCUGCAGCACAGGGGGUUGCUGUGAAACAUUAACAGUAUAAUGAAUAGGUUAAGCAUAAGUACCUGACCAAACAUCAUUUAUUCUGCCAUGCUGCAAGAAGCGUACCAGGGGCACUGAUCUGUAUAAAUGCUAGAACAAUCUCCUAUUCACAUUGCUGAAUAAUAUUAUUGUCCAAGGUUGAAGUCUGCUUUAGGGCCUGAAAACAUGUCCCAAUUCCCAUGGCUUGCUUUAUCUUCCCUCCCCCUUCAGCUAGUCAAAUGCUUAAAGUUCAAAUCCUGGGUAGAAGAACCAUAGUCAUAUGCUCGUCAUCAUGGUAGCAUUCAUUUGAGCCUCUUUUCUCUCCCCAAGAUUUAGUACCACUGCAGAAAGUCUCAACCUGAAAAAGGAGCAACUCCCCUUCAGUGAGUGCUUUAUAGUUUCCAGGGGUGUACUUGGUAGCUGUGUUGGUCUGAGACAAAAAGACAUACAAAAAACUAGAACUCUUGAUUCCAAAAUGAUAAUAAAAGGUAUCAUUUUGGAAUCAAGAGUUCUAGUUUUUGUAUGUCUUAUAGUUUCCAGCGCUCUCAUAUUUACCACGUUUCAUAGUUGGUAUUUUACUUAAAGCAGUGAUUCUCAAGCUUUUUAGACUUUGUUGGACUAAAAGCAGCCCCCAACCCCCAUCACUUUGGUGAACUGAGCAGCACCUCAUUUCAAAAACCAGUUUAUUACAAUGCUUACCUCCUUGCAGAGGGGCUAAGCAGUGUGGGCAGGGGAGGGGCCAGGCAGUGAGCCUGCACAUAUCUCCUCACACGUUGUAGUACCCUUCAAAAGACUGUGGCACCCCAGGAUGGCCUAGUUGAAAAUCACUGACUUACAAGCUUCAACUUCAGGAGAUCAGUGUAUAUGAGCACCUCAGCAUCCAUUUAAAAUAAAAGUUGUUCAGAAAAGCUUAAAAGUGUGCCCCAAGACAACCCCGAAGUCUUAAAAACCAGAACAGAUGCUCCUUCCCCACUCCCCUCCCAAUUUAUUAUUAUAUUCAUGUAUUAUAUUCAUCACAAGAUUUUGGGAACUUGCCCUAUGAUUUUUGAUAGUUUGUGACUGAUGAUACUGAUUUUUACUCUUAACUUUAAAUGGAUAGUUAGUUUUCCACUUUUUCUGAUUAAAAAAAAAAAACUUUAUACCCGUGUUGCACAACGCUGGAUUGUCUUAGCAUGUUUCAUAAAUCAAACAUAUUGUUAGGCAAGAGUUGAAGGAAUUACAGAAUCAAGCAUUUGUAAUCUUUUGAGUAAUUACAAUAGUGGUUCUCAGCCUAUCCGGCCCUGUGGGCUAAAGGAAUGGCAUGGGGCAUAGGGCAGUCUGCGGCCCCAUAGGGCCAGGAAUGGCAUGAGGCCAGCCUGCGGGCUGGAUCCCUCAUGCUGGAUCCAUCAGUCCACAGAGCUGACCUACUAUGCAGUUGAUGCACAAUGUCCAUCUGCAGAUAUAAUCUGGUGCACCAGCCUAGCCCCACAUGCCAGAUCUGGCCACAGUGUCACCCCACACACCAGUGUGAUCUGGCACGCAAGGCCAUGUCGUCCAGCUGCAGGGCUCCCCUAUGGGUCUAGACAUUUGGCAGCAGGGGAGUAGUGGCAGAGUUAAUUGCCACGACUUCCGAAACCUGCAGCAGUUAAUACUACACUGUUCCCCCAUCAGCAUAUUUCUGGACCUGAGCCCCAUGGGCUGGAUGAUGUGGCUCUAUGGGCCAAAUCUGUCCCAUAGUCCAUAGGCUGAGCACCACUGACUCAACAUUUCUUUGAAAGGUACCAUCUAUAACAUAAGAGCUCUACUUUCUGAAACUUUAAAUUUUAUUGGGCAACAAGCAAAUGAAAUGAUUAAAGUCUGUGUCCUAUGUAGCAUAACAGACCUCAACUGAGCUGGUUGAACAGUUUUCAUAAAUACGAAAUCGUCCAUUUUUUGCUAAAAUUUUGAAUUCAACUUUCUUUUAACCAGCAGCAGACCCAAUUUGCACACAAGACCCCCAGAAUUGUAUACAACAAACCCCAAACAACCUGUCCUUCACAGCUCCUGAGCUGCCUCAGGCCAGUACAAUGUAUACAGCAUCUCUUUGGGUUUUUUAUUUUCAUAUAUUUAUUGCCCUCCACUCCACUCCACUCCUGAGCUGUGCAGAUUUAGUGCACUGGCUUUUAUACAAAAUGCCGUUCAUGAGAACUAUGAUCUUGUGUUUGUGUGGAUUAUGUACCUCUUCAUUUGUACGCUCUAUGGAAGAGAGCUGCUCAUUAAAAUGUAAAUGAACUUGGGUUAUUAAAAUACAAAUAUUUUAUUCAUGUUUGCAAUCAGGGGUGUGUUUGUUUACAUCAAGUGAAAUUCUUUUUAUUCAAUUUAGGUUUCUAAAUAAAUCGGUGUCUAAAUAAUCCAGUGCUCGUCCUGUCAGACUAUGAAACCUCUUACAGACUCCUACACAUGUUUAAUCAACACUGCGGCUCUGAUGCCCUGAACUAGUGCAGAGACCUGCUGCCUUCACUGGGACUCUGUUGUCAAUAUUAUUGGAUUGGAGCAUACAUCACUCAACACCACAAUGAAGGCCAGAUUUCCUGGGAUUCUCCCAAGAGUUUUACAGGAUGGAGACAGGACUGGAAACAGAAAAUACAGCUGGGCUAGGUUACAGCAAUAACAAGUCUGUGUUUGCUCUGUGACUGCAUGUUAAACAACUAAGUUAUUUUAAAAUCUGCAUCAGUCAUCACUGACAUGUUGGAAGCUUCAGUUCAUCAACUUGAACAAUACAAACAAUUUUUAAUUUAGCUAUUAAUGCUUUGCACUUCUCAGGCUCUCUCUCCAAGGAUCUCAAAAUUCUUUAACAAGCAAUGAUUUACCUCAAAUCCCUAAGGUAAGGAUUUUUUUAUUUUUUUUUAAUAUUCACAGUUUUACAGAUGGAGGGCUAGAUCCUUUAGGGCUUCAUCAGGUACAACCCUUAUUUCACCAAAUGAAGCUUUGCUACAGUGAAGACUGCAGGAGCCAGCUGUAGCUAGGCUGAGAGUGAGCAGCAAAUCUCAGUCCUACACGUUUAUGAGAAUAUCCUUACCCUGGGGAAUGCAUUUGGUCAUUGAGCAGCUUCUAAGUAAACUCUUUGAGACGGGGGCCAUCUCUCAUUCUGGGUUUGCACAAUGCCUAGUGCAUUUUUGGCUACAGCAUCUACACUCUAUAGCAGGGGCGGGCAAUUGUUUUGGGGGGAGGGCCGCUUACUGAGUUUUGACAAGCCACCGAGGGCCACAUGACAGGCAGCCAGGGGCAGAUAAAUAUAAAUUUUCUACAUUUUUUUAGGGGCCCCACAGGCCAGAGAGACUGGCCUGGUGGGCCACAUUUUGCCCAUCCCUGCUUUAUAGGAAUACAGUACAGCAAUGCUAAUAAUAUUGUUGGCCUGGAUUAUUUUUUCAAAACAUUUUCUUUUGCCUUUGAAGCUUUUACCUAAAAGCAGGACCCAUGCAGUUGGUAACACUGUUGUCCCUCCUGCUUUCUUCUUGAGGCACACUAUAGCGUUUAAUGCCUUUGGGUUUUUUGAGACCAGUUAAUUGCAUCUUAAGUAGUAAAUCUGCCAGACAUUCAUGCAAUUGAUGGCACGAUAAAUGGAAUAAGCCACAGUUAUUACACAAAAUACGUGCAAUAACUUUGUGGCUGGUUCCCAGUGCACCUUAAAUUGAACAUGUGGUCACUCUCAGCCUAGGGAGUGCACCAGAGCCCUUCAACACUCCUGAUCCUGGACUCCACCUGUAUUGGCAAUCGGGCACAUUUGGGAUCUGAUCCCUGGUCCAACAAUUAUGGGUCAGAUACCAUUGUACCUUUAACUGAACAGUUGCCAGCAAUCUUACUAGAGCUCAUUAUGAUUUUUUGGGGGCACACACGUUUGUAGGAAGGGCUGGGGUGGAUCUUGCUGUAGACCUUUGUGGACUUCACAUCCAUCACAUGGUUGCCUGCAACUGUGAGGGCCUGAAUUUGACAAUGGAGAGUGAUCCCUUCUCAUCCUAUGUUCUUGAAUAUGAUGUGAGGCAGAGCCUAAUCCUCAGAUAUCAUAAACUGUCAUGGUUCAUAUAGCUACACUGGCUUUACUCCACAGGAGGAUCUUGCCCUGCCUCCACAAGUGGUAAGCACUACUGUCUAUAUGAAGUGUGCCGCAUUCAGCUUUGAUUAACCAUUAAGAAACUGGUUUGUUGCAAACUCUUUUUUUGACUGCAUUAUAUAACACUUAAAAGAUUUAUGCCUAAUUCCUAGUGGAAACAUUACAUUACCUGUGAAAGCCUGAUCAAACAGUGUUGCUCUUUAUGCCCUGUCACUGUUGAUCUGUGCAGUAAUAUAUCCUGCCUUUUUUAAUAUAAAUUCCCUUCCAAUAAACAGACCUAAUCCUGGGUAUUUAAAAUGAAAUACUGUUUGACAUAAGGGCUUCCCACCCCAUGCCCCUCUAUUUACACCUAUCACCUGGUCAACUGAAUAACUCUUUGUUUCCCGCUGUCUCCAUUUUUCUAAAGCGAUUCUGUACAAUUUCUGGCCUGUUUUUUGUAACCACUAUUUUUAUUCAUCCAGCUGAAGACUUGAUCGUUUGUUUAAUGCAACUCCCUGGAAAUAAAAACUUCGUUCAUUG